UACAGAGGUCCCAAGCGUUGUUCGGAUUCACUGGGCGUAAAGGGUGCGUAGGUGGUCGGGUAAGUUUGAAGUGAAAGCUCCGGGCUCAACCCGGAAAUGGCCUCGAAGACUAUCCGGCUCGAGGGUUGGAAGGGGGACUGGAAUUCUCGGUGUAGCGGUGAAAUGCGUAGAUAUCGGGAGGAACACCUGAGGCGAAGGCGGGCUACUGGGCCGAUACUGACGCUGAGGCGCGAAAGCCAGGGGAGCGAACGGG
rnacentral:rRNA from 1 species